rnacentral:tRNA from 1 species
GCUGGCGUAGCUUAACAUAGAGCAUAGCACUGAAGAUGCUAAGAUGAGGUUUUAAACGACUCCGCACGCA